UUUUUUGUUGUUUUUUUGUUGUUGUUGUUUCGGUUUGUUUUUUGUCUCCGCAGCACCUAGAGCAGCAGCUCGGGGAAGCGUGGAAUGGUUCGGGUUGUAGAAGUAAAACCACCCUGCCGUGGACAUGGACACCUUGCACCAGACUGGGCUGCUCCAAGCCCAAUCCAUCCCAGCCGUGAGCACCCAUGGCACAGCUUCUCUGGGCAACUGUGCCAGAGCCUCACCACCCUCACGAAAGGCUGGCUGUAGUGUUUUAUACCUACAUCAGCACUACAGUCCAGGUUGCCUUUCUCCUUUACUGAGGAAAACAAUAAGCACAAGCAUUUAUUUCUUUGGACCCACUUCUAGUGUAUGGAAACAGACAACUGUUGCAUUGUUUAAAAUAAAUAAAUUACCAUUUUUUAGUAAACCAGAAUUAAAUUUUAGAUAUUUACAUUUGUAGUUAACUAGUUAUAUCUAGCAUAUGCAUAUAUAUAUAUAUAAAUAUAUAUAAAUGGCAAAUAAGUAUAUUUAAUUUUUGUGUUUUAUCAAGUGUGAAAAAAAUGCACUUCUAGACUAUGCUUUCCUUUAUGAUGUUCCCUCUCAGACCACUUUUUUGCUGCUGACAAUUUCAGGAACCUUGCAUCUCUUGCAUUACCCUGCUGCCUCAGUCCCCUGUGGCAAAAGCUCAUUUGAAAUUUCAGGGUGCAAGUAUGCAACUCCUCAUAUUUGUUAGAUUUAUCGUCAUGGUGAUUCCCUUACUUUGGGUAUGCUAAUAUGCUGAAAGAGUUGAAAUGUGGUUAGCAUCCUUAGUUUCAUACAGAUGGCUUAAUGUGGGAGACAAGAAACGUCUCAUAGAAUAAAUAGAAGGCCUUUGCUCACUUUGUUCCUCUUUGCUCUCUGACAAUUCAUGAAAACCUCUAUGGGAAACACAGCUGGCAUGAAGACAGAAACAAGUCAUGUAAGCUUCCUGUGGACAACGCUUCAUCAGAGUGCUGGGUUGGUUAGAGGAACGAGUGGACAGUGUUUGUUUAGUUAACAAAGAAUUCUAACAAGUAUGGAUUUUAGCCAGAGUGUUUUUAGCUAUUUUAGUUAAUUAAAUAAUUAACUAAAUAAUAAAUAAAUAAUAUAUAAA